CAACUCAAUUGCAGAAACAACAAAAUGGGCAAAGGAUCUGAAUGGACUUUUUUCCAGAGAAGGCAUACAAAUGGCCAACAAGUACUUGAAAAAGGUGCUCUACAUCACUAAAUAUUAGGGAUAUGGAAGUCAAAAUAAUAAAGAAAUACCAACUUACACUUGUUAGGAUAUCUAUUAUUAAAAAAAAGACAUUGAGAAUGCUGGUGAGGUCAUGGAGACAAGGAAACCCUUGUACACUACUGGUGGGAAUGCAAACAGUACAGCCACUGUGGAAAAAAGUAUGGAGUCUCCUCAAAAAACUAAAAAUAGAACUAUCACAUAGAUGACCCAGCAAUUCCACUUUUGGGAAUAUAUCCAAAGGAAAUAAAAUCACUAUCUCAAAGAGAUAUCUGUGCUCCCAUAUUCAUUGCAGCAUUAUUCACAAGAGCCAAGGUAUGAAAACAACCUACGUGUUCUUCAUCAUAUCAAUGGAUAAAGAAGUUGUUGUGUCUGUGUAUACCAUGGAAUAUUAUUCAACCAUAGAAAAGAGCCCUAAAUCCUCAUAAUCCAAGUCAGUUCUUAUGAAUGACUCUGAAAUUCCUAUUAAUAGAAGUUUCAUCCCUUCAUUCAUUUACUUAUUCACUCAUUCUUACUACUCUGUAAUAUGUUUGUAGUUUUAAGUUUAUUCAUUUUGAGGUGGGAGGGGCAGAAAGAUGGGGAGAGAGAUCCCAAACAGGCUCACACUGUCAGUGCAGAACCUUGCACAGGCCUCCAUCUCAUGAACCAUGAGAUCAUGACCUGAGCUGAAAUCAAGAGUCUGACACUUAACCAACAUUUAACCGGUGCCCCAAUACUUUUUUAAUAGAAUUCGUACUACAGAAAUUACAUUCUGUAAAUGGAGAUUUCAGAUAAAUUCCAGUGGGGGGGGGGGGGUGCAGGAGUCAGAAUGAUGAAGGUAUUCAAGGAGACUAGUUCAAGGUGUAGCAAAUCUACUUGUGACAUCUUAAUAUCCCAGGAUAUAAAUGGUUUACUAUUCUCCUCAAGGAGAAGGUGUGCUAUGUACACUGGAUGACGUUCUGUUAUCUUUAAACUCACAUACUCAUACAUAGUUAAUGACUCUUAGGAGCAUGAAGUUGCAAAAUACUUUUGUUUUAGAAAAGACAUUGUAUUAAUAGCAAAUUAUUGUAAAUGUCCAUAGCCAUUUGGAUCAAAGCAAUUGAAAAUAUAAGCUUAUACCUUUAUCUCAAACUGUGCAACUCUGAGAUGACACCAGAAGUAAAGUCUUUUGGAGGAUUUUGUCAUUACAUUUGAGAGAAAACACUUCUUUCUUGCUAAUUACCUAAAGGCUAGAAAAGAAAUGAAGGCAUGAGACUGGUGAAAUGAAAUCUGAAUUUUCAUUUGUUAUAACCCUUUUCCUCAAAUGUAUUUAUGAAUAUGCUUUCCUACUCCUAUAAGUUUAGAGCUAACAUGAUUCAGACUUUGAUGGUUGAGAGUAUCAUGGUGCCCAAGAUUAUCACUGAGAAUACGAGAUUAUCCUUAUCCAGCAGUGCAGCUAUAUAUGUGAUGGAUAAGAGGUUGAACUGACUGAUUAUUGACACCAAACCGUACCUUGGAAAUUAUUUGCUUAUGUUAUUUGGUUGUAUCAUUGUCCCUUUCUUAGAAAUAUAGUAUGCUUAGGCAUAAAGAUGGCUCAUAAUUAUAAGUGCUAAUUAAUGAUCAAAUAAUUGAGAAAUUGAUACACACAUAUGUAUAUGUAUAUGUAUAUGUAUAUGUAUAUGUAUAUGUAUAUGUAUAUGUAUGUGUAACUAGCUUGGUGUUCUUUACAUAGUACACAUGCAAAUUGUUUCCUGAAAGAUUGAUGCUGUCCCAUCAGUGUGGGCCCAGUUCUUGUCCCAAUGCACCAAAAGUUACAAAUUGUGAUGGUUGACAAUGUCCAAAGUAAAUUCAUAAGUUAAUUUAUGCUUUUGACAAAUUCUAGUUGAAGAGUAUGGCAGUUAGACCUGGAUUCAAAUGUUGGUUCUAGCAUUUAUUAAUUUUUUGGGUUUGGGCAUAUUAGUGAAAUCCAUGAAUCUUUAAUGCUCUGUAUAUAUUAUAUAAUAUAUAAUCUCUUCUUAUUAAAAUGCAGUGAAUAACACACACUUCAUAGUGCUUUCCUGAGGAUUAACUAAGAUAGCAUGCAUAAAACAACUGAAAUGGUAUCUGUCCUGGAGUAGAUGUUUAACUGUUAACCUCUCUCCCUUUUUGUCCUUUCACAGAGACGGUUGAAAAUGCAUCUUGAGGCAUCAUGUCCUUUAUUCAUGAUAUGCUACUUGUUGAACUUACUAUAUGGAUUUUCUCUUUUCCUGAUCUACUCUCAGCAUCCACUUACCUUGUCAAAGAAUUAUUCUCCCUACCUAUAUAAAGAGUGUUUGCAAAUAAUGUGAACAAAAUGGACAUUUUUACUCACCAAUAGAAAAGCAUGACAGACAAUUCCCAAAAAAGUAAGUGAAGAUAUCUAAAAAAUAUACAAUAAUUCAACCCUUACUUAUAAUAAAAAUUUAAAUUGAAACCUCAGUAAAAUAAAUAUUUUUAGCCCAUCAAAUUGCCAAAUGGUAGUUGGUUGUUUUCAACUUUUAAUUCAAUAGUCAUGGUAAAGAAAGACAAGCUUUCAUUUGUUGCUGGUUUGGGUAUAAAGAUAGAGGAAGAAUUUAACAAUAAUAACAUUUCCUGAAUCAUAUUAUAAGAAAAUAUAUGAGAAAUAGGAUUAAUGAUUUGUGUCCAAAAUUGUUCAAUGUUAUUUUUGAGAAUAUUUUAACUUAUUUAGGCAUCCAACACUAGGGAGAUGGUCAAAUGCAUCAUAAUACCACUAAUGAAACAUUAUACAGUUAUUUAGUAUAAUUUUAAAAAAAUAUUUAAAGACAUGAAGGAUCCCUUCAUUGUAUUUUUAAUUGAAGAAAAUAAAGUAUUCAAGUGUAUGUUGGCUACAACUUUUAUAAGUUCAAGAGUUUUGUCUGAUAUAUUUAUAGCUGACUGUCCCCAGUGCGUAGAAUAGUGCCAGGCACUGGCAGGCAUGCUGUAUGUAUUUGCUAAAUCAAGUAAUGAAUGAAUACGCAGUAUGUUUCCACUUAAAAAUACACAUACACAUAUAUACACACAAUUAAGAAGAAAAAACAUCAAAAUACUAGCAAUGUCAAUCUCUAUAUUGGUCAGUAUAUUUUAUUUUUAUAUUUUUAGCAAUUUCCAAAUUCUCUGUAGUUUAUAAUCAGGCAAAAUUUAUUGGACCCAUAGCCUUGUUAUCUUCAACCAAUAAUUCCAACUUGUGGAAUAUAUUUCUGCCUCUGUAGUUCAUUUCUGAAGCCAUGCCCAAGAAAUUUGGCAUAUUUGCCUUUCUGGUGCAUACUGAGCAGGAUGGCAUCCUUUACAGUACGAGAUCAUUCUCUCCAGUUUGAAUACACUUUGAAAUAAUGAUCUAAAUGAUUUUCAACCCACCUCCUGUCAACCGUAUUAGAACGUGGGAUCAGUGUAUACCCUUCUACUUUGUUCACGAUGAUUUGUUGUAGAAUGUUGGCAAUGGCUUCUUGGUAGCAAAGACCUGCAUUCUGACCUGUACGUCUACUGAUCUUCUUAGAAAAAAAAACAAGGUUAGUUUGAUUUGGUUUGAUCUCAGUGAUCCUUGCAGUGAUUAUCUUUUUUUUCCCCUUAAGUUCUCAUGACCUAAAUAUUUAAAAAUCUCUUUCAGAAUUUUGUCUGUAUAAUGUCAAACUUGGCUUUUUCUUCCAAGACCUACAUUUUUGAAGAUGAAUAAAACAUCUGCUUAUCUCCUGAGUAGCACCUGGAUACCCUGACUCUAUGGUCUCUUUGAAAUCCCCAAGGAUAGAUUGACUUUCACAUCUGCAAUUGUUAAAUAAGUUGCUUUUCCCAGAGAACUUUAGAGAUGCAUUUCAUUUUGGCAAGAUGUUGUUCCUUAGAUUUACAUACAUUUUAAAUGGCAUGGUGCUUUCUUACCAUGUCUUUGCAUUUUUCAUUUUCUGAUUCAAUACUUAUUUUGCAUUUCCCAGUAAAAGAUCAUUCUCCUUGAUAGAGAUCAUUGAGGCACCUUUGUUCUUGCUUUGUUCUGACAAUAACACCCUUAUCUCCUGAGAUUAUUCUUUAACCUCCUAGCUGAAUUUUCUAUGCCAUAUUCUACAUUUGUACCAAAUUGUACCAAAUGUGGUUUUUUUUUUAACUUUCCUUGUUAAAAUAAUUUAAGAAUGCAGGAAUGCUGAAAAAAUAGCACACGUAUUUAACCUUUAUCCAGUUUCCCUGAGUGGUAAUCCUCUCCCCAUCCCCUUUCUUAAACUGUUUUUGAGAGUAUGUGCAAGUAUGCUAUCUCUUUACAUCUAAAUGCUUCUGUUUGUAUUUCUAAAAAACAAAACAAAACAAAAAACUGAAUAGAAAAGACCAAGAAUAUUCUCUUAUACAACAAGAGUAUAGUUAUGUAUGAGGGAACUGGCAUUGUUACUAAUAGGGUUCAGGAUAUACUACCACAAAAAAAAGACACCUUGGCAUAUUUAAUACUUUAAGCUGAAGGAGUUUGAGAAAAUGGCAGAAGCAGGAGGAUAACUGACCUCUCCAUCCUCAGCCUUCUUCCCUGAAAGGGGAUAAAUCACCCCUGUGAAGGCAUCCUUCCAGUACCAGGAGGAGGGAAGACAUUCUUAUCACCAGAGACAAGAAAUUAACAAAUCUUGUUAAACUAGCCAUUGUUUUCCUAAAACUUCUUCACCAGCACUACCCCUAGCCCAAAGCCCAUUGUUUUGUCAAUUCUCCAUAAAUUUAUGGUUUCUUUACCUAAAUUGUAUGAAAGCUUCCUGCUCUGGUCACUUCUUUGGAUCUCAUUCCCUUGUGAAGGCUCUCAUGUACAUGUAAAGAUACAUUAAAAUCUAUGUGCUUUUCUCCUGUUAAUCUUUUUAAAUUUAAUUUUCAGACCUAGCCAGCAACCCUAAGAGGAUGGAGGAAAACUUUUUCCUCACCUACAUGCAAUCCAAUAUUAUUAUAGUACAAAUAUAUAAUAAAUAAUAGUAAAGAACUUAUUCAAAUAUUGCCUGUUUUUCUAGUAAUGCUCAUAACAAAUUAUCUUUUUUUUUCUGGUCUAGGAUCUCAUAUUGUAUUUGGUUGCCGUAUCUGUUUGAUCUCCCUUCUUCUGGAACAUUUUCCAGUCUUCCUUUGCCUUUCAUGACCUUGAUGUUUUUGAGGACUCCAGACUAGUUAUAUAGUAGUUUGUCUCUCAAUUUUGGUUUGUCUGAUAUUUCUUCAUUAUUAGAUUCAGGUUAUGCAUUUUUAGCAGGAAUACCACAGAAGUGAUGUUGUGUCCUUCUCAGGAGGCGCUUUUACUGCCAUUACUGGUGAAUUAACUUUGAUCAUUUGGUUAAGGUGGUGUCUGCCAGGUUUCUCCCAUAAAGUUACUGUUUCCCCCUUCAUAAUUAAUAAGUAUCUUGUGGAGAGAUACUUUGAGACUUUGUAAAUAUCCUGUCUCAUCAAAUAUUCACCCUUUAGUUUAGUAUCCAUCGAUGAUUUGUGCCUGAAACAAAUAGUAUCACAAUGAUUAUUUCCAUAGUAAAUUUCUAAUUUGGUAACUUUUUUCUGUAUUCAUUAGCUGGUAUUUUUAUAUAAGGAAGAGAUUUCAUUUCCCCCUUUCAAUUAUUUACUUAAUAAUUAGGAUGACCUCAUGGAUCCUUAUAUUUCAUUUAAUUCAAUGAGUUAUAUGCUGUUACUAUCAUUAUUUUGAUGCACAAUUUGUCUCAGUUUGGCCAGUUGGAGACCAUCAAACUGUGUGUGUGUGUGUGUGUGUGUGUGUGUGUGUAUGUGUGUGUGUAUUUUGACAUGUCCUUAUUUGGAGGCAACACACAAUUUCUUUCUUUCUGGACUCAAAGAUAUUCCAAGAACAUUCUGUAUUUUCCCAGUCCCAACCCUGGCAUCAUCUAAUCAGCCAAGAAACUCAGUUUCCUUUUAAUUUACAAUGAUGUUUAAAAAUCAAAGUAUGGGUACUAGGUGUGGUCAUUGCUAUUGGAGUGUUGUUGCCUCUAGGUUGUUGUUGUUGUUGUUGUUGUUGUUUUCCCAGAAGACACAGCACACCACACACAUACAUGCAUAUAUAGACACAGUUAUAUCUAUUUCAUUAUCUAUCUAUCUAUAUCUAUUUAUAUUGAUAGCUCCAGUUUGAAAUCAACAUGAGAGUUCCUUCCUUUCCACAGUUGUAGCUCUCUUCUCAAACAAUAAGAAAACUGGCUGGUUAUCCAUAUUUUGAUAUGUCAGAGAAGGUCAGCUUUUCUACUUAAAUUCUGACAAGAAUUUUCAGUUUUAAAUUUUUUUUUUAACGUUUAUUUAUUUUUUUUAUUAAAUUUUUUUUCAACGUUUUUAUUU